ACUUGGGGCAUCUUUUGUUAAAAUUUGAGAUCUUGAGAUAGGAUGAUCAAUUAUGUCAGUGGCCGGCUUAUUUCACGAUCAGGAAAUAUUGCUGAAGUUGGUAAAUGGUUGCAGGCUAUGUUCUUCUCUUUGAAGCAGAUCCCAUGAUACCUUAUCCCACGUUACUUUGAUGCUAUAUUAAUUGGUGCAUACACCACUCU
ensembl:lincRNA